GCACUGCCAGAAUGGACUAAUACACUAUGUGAAGACAAAGGGGAUGUCUGCAAGCCAGGACGAGUGCGUCUACCAGCAACUGAGUUCUGCUGGACUUUGAUCUAGGACACCCAGCCUCCAGAAUGGAAUGUGCCAUAUAUGGAGACCUGCAUGGAAAGGAACUGAGGAUGCUCUCUGACUAAAAGCUAGAAGGAACUGAGACCCUCAGUCAACAGUCUACAAGACACUGAAUCUUGCCAGCAGCCAUACAGUGAGCUUGAAAGCAGAUCUAUCCUCAGCUGAACCUUCAGAUGAGACCGCAGCCUAAGCAGACACCUUGGUCGCAGCCAUGUGAGACAACCUGAAACAGAGGGCACAGCUAAGCCUCAGCCAGGAUCAUCACCCUCUGAGGAAACUGUGAGAAAGCAAAUGUCAUUUUAGGCUAUUUAAUUUUGGAGGUAGUUUGUUACACAACAAUAAAUAACUAUUAUAAUUAUCUUGAGGAUUUCCUGGGGAGAAUAAAUGGAAUUGCAUAUAUAGGUCAUCAUAUGCAGAAUACUGGUACCUCAGAGAUGUUCACCCCAGAGAUGUUGUAGGAACCUGUGAAUAUAUUACCUUACAUGGCAAAGUUUUCCUGGAUGGUUUAAGUUUAAGAUGGAAAAGUUUAACUGGAUUAUCCCGUGGGUCCAAUCUAAUAACAAGAGUCCUUAAAAAUGGAGAAUAUUUUUUGGUCAUGAUCAGAGAGACAUGUGAUGAUGGAAGAAGUGUCAGAGAUGCAAUGUGAGCGGACUAAAACUGCUGUUGCUGACUUUAAAGAUGGAGAGAGGGGAACCCGAGUCAAGGAAUGCAAAUGGCCUCUGGAAGCUGGAAAAGGCAAGAAACGGAUUCUCCUUUAGAGCCUCUGGAAAAAAAUGCAGUUAUGCUGACACCUUGAUUUUACCUCAGUGAGACCAAUAAUGGAGUAUGACCUUCGGAGCUGAAUAAAAUUAUACAUACACAUCUUAAUUUCUUGGAAUUUGAUUACUUCUUCUGCUUUGAAAUUAGACCAAGUUUAGCCUGCCUUUGCUAUUUUGGCAUAUCUCCAAUUCUUCGUGAUUUUCUCAUAGUGUUGCCUCCAUAUGAUGCAAAAUAUCCAAACUAGCCCUGACAUGAAAGCUUAACUGAAAGUAUCCAACAGUGGCGCAAAGGCCACAUAAGGACAGUAAGAAGGCAGUCAUCUGCAAGCCAGGAAGAAAGGUCUCACCAGAUACCAACCCUGCCAGCAAGUUGAUCUUGGACUUCCAGCCUCCAAAACUGGCCUUCUACUCACAUGGGCUUCCGUGCACCUGCUUCAGGAGACAGCAACACUUGCGCCCGCACUGCGGCAGGCUCCCAUCACCUGGUGGAUAUGCCGUGCUGAGUCUCAUCACACCUUAGUGAAGGAACACAUGGACCCAUAUGUUAGCGGAUGUGUUUACAUCAUUUUAUACAGAAAGGGGAA
rnacentral:lncRNA from 1 species